CCCCUCUCAGGGUCACCCCUGGAGAGUUUCCAGUACUCUACCAGUCCCGACUACAGCAGGGAGAGUCAAGCAGAGGCAUACCCAUUCCAUUCCUAGCUUGGCCAGAGGCUAGUCAGUGGAAAGCAGUCUGCUACCAGU